rnacentral:rRNA from 1 species
UACAGAGGUCUCAAGCGUUGUUCGGAUUCAUUGGGCGUAAAGGGUGCGUAGGUGGCGCCAUAAGUCAGGUGUGAAAUCUCGGGGCUCAACCCCGAAACUGCAUUUGAUACUGUGGUGCUCGAGUACUGGAGAGGAGAUUGGAAUUUACGGUGUAGCAGUGAAAUGCGUAGAUAUCGUAAGGAAGACCAGUGGCGAAGGCGGCUUGCUGGGCGUAGUCUGACGCUGAGGCGCGAAAGCGUGGGGAGCGAACAGG